rnacentral:rRNA from 1 species
CAUGUGCACGCCCGAGCCCUUGAAUCCCAAACACCACAUGUGAACCCACCGUAGGCCUUCGGGCCUAUGUCUUAUCAUAUAAUCUGAAUGUCUAAUAGAAUGUAAACCCAUUUCGUUGCCUUGAAAACGUAACGAAAGAAAACUAUACAACUUUCAACAACGGAUCUCUUGGCUCUCGCAUCGAUGAAGAACGCAGCGAAAUGCGAUAAGUAAUGUGAAUUGCAGAUUUUCAGUGAAUCAUCGAAUCUUUGAACGCACCUUGCGCCCCUUGGUAUUCCGAGGGGCAUGCCUGUUUGAGUGUCAUUAAAUCCUCAACCCCUCCGAUUCGUUUCGGUGGGGAUUGGACUUGGAGCGUGCUGGCGAAGGUCGGCUCCUCUUUAAAUGCAUCAGCGGAGAAAAUGCCUUUUGCGCCUCUGGCCGUUCAGCGUGAUAAUGAUGUUGCGCUGCGGUCGAGCUUAAGGUCCGCUUCCAAAGGUCCUCGGACAAAUAUACAUAUGACUUUUGACCUCAAAUCAGGUAGGACUACCCGCUGAACUUAAGCA